AGGGGGGGAAGGUCAGUCUUCCGGAAAACGUGUCGAGCGUAGUAACGUCGAUUUCUUUUGUAUUAAAUAAAGUUAUCUUUCUUCAUCGCUUAUCAUCAACGUGUACCGUGUACUAAUUGAUCCACUAAAACCAUUCCUGCUCAUCCUGAAUAAUCCAACAAACUCUACAGAACUGUGGCGCGUCCAUGUUCUUCGAAUCCCGGUGAAUCAGUCAAGUGACUCUUAUAAACAUUCGGAAGGCUUGUGAUUUUUACGAUCUUUAUGGAGGUGAAAAAUUUGCCACUCUCUUGGAUCUCGGAGCUCGUCCAACUUAUUUACAUGGAGAAUGGGUGGACAGUUUUUUGAGACAAAAAAACAGUCAACUUAUUCAACUCGAGUAUCCUCUAAAUCGUGCGGAUCCAACAACCUAAAGAUGGAAAGAUCAGUAGGUUUUCAACAUCUGAAAUAUAACUUUGGUGCGGGAGCUUGAGAAAUUUGAUAGUUUGAGCAAUCUGCGAUGGAGCACGUACUACAAAAUAAAUCCCAUGGUUUAAAUAAGCAGGAGUGUUGCACAUUUACGACAAUCGUUUCGUGCUAUGCGAAUCAACGUUAGUCGCGUAGAGAUGAGUCGAGUGAAGCAAUUGCGCAAAGAAAAUGGUUCCUCCAACGGUUGACUCUGCUGGAACGUUGCAGUGACUGACAACGAGGCAACAGUUGCACCUACGAAAGGAAACACUCGUAUUGGGAACAAAUUGAAUCUCUGCAACAGUUCGAAUGUCGUCGUUGCGUCUCGAGAAAAUAGGGGUCCUUAGAAUGGAGAAUCGAGCAAAGAAUCAUCGUAACAACAUCUUGCCAUGUAAGAUAGUGCAAAUCGGCUUUUUCAUUGGUGGAUGUUUACAUAAAACAGCAUUAACAGCAAUCUAUUCAUGUGUUAUUAUCAAAACAUGGAGUCGAAAUGGAAUCUGUAGGAAGACAGGGAACGCUGGUUUCUUACGCUGUACGUUUUGCUCUUUCUUCAUCUGGACGUGACCGACCUUCGUGAUACAUCGCUCUAUUGACCACAACUCUAAAGAAGCAAUCCAAUUGUAUUUCAAACGAACAUAACUUCUGGUCGUUCCAAGCCCUUUUUUUCAUUGACCUCUUGCUCUCGUCAUUCAGUUCAUAUUUUUUUAUUCUUGCGACAUAUUUUUUUACUUGUUUUGUUAUUUUUCUCGAGCACUUGUAUUGAUAUUUGUUGUUCUCAACUAUAACGAACGCUGUCUCAGGCAUGCUUUCGUAGAGUUUUUUUUUUAUAAUUACUCCAUCAGUUAGCUCUCUUAUUUCCGCGAUCACAUGAGUGCACAUAUUUUGUGCAUAUGUACAAUUGUACCAUGGCCAAGCAUAUCUACUAAACUAGGGUGUUAUCUUUUCAAACGUGUGUGAAACUCUCUUAUCGUACUGCGUUAUCGUACUAUAAUUUUUUAUAUUAUGCAUGUUCGCAAAUUUUGUCAGAAUUUGAUUAAUGUCCUAGUGCAGACGAACAGCACUACUUUAUUUGAUCUCGUGAAAUUUUUCUGUCACUAUUUCCACUUAUUUCGACGGUACAAGAACAGCGGUGUGCAAACAAUUAAAGAAAAAUAUAUGAUGCCUAUUUUAAAAGAAAAAUCGAGGUUUUGGUUUAAUUGUCAAAGCCAAAAGUGAAUACGUACUGAAUUAGAGAUAAAAUAAACGCGUCGAACCUAAAUAAAAAAUAUAUGAAAAAUUCGAAAUUCUUUCGAUAAAGAUAUGCUCAAUUAUUCAGAACUCGUUCAUUCGCCGCCAUUCCGUGUCGAUAUUUGGAAAGAUAAUAUGUAGCGGUGGGAUGAAUUUCGAUUAAAACAUGUUUUUUAAGGCUGUUAUUAGUGUAUACGAGAACAUUUUCCAUUCACAGUGUUGUCAUUGUUCUGGUACGUAUCUUUAUAACGCAUCGCUAGAAAACUGCUUACAUAUUGAGUAUAAUGAAAACGACAAUAGUAAAAUAAUUUCAACGAGGUCGCAAAAUAAUUAUCACGAUGUGGUAUACCGGAGUAAUACCAUUCGCAAAAAUUACGUGAACGGAGCAAUGAAGAUCUUGAAAUUUUGAAACUUUUGUAAUUAUCAAAAAUCUGCAGAGACUCGGCACGCGAAAUGUUAUGUUAACGAUAGCAAUAAUAGUGAAUCAAAAUUUCACAUAAAAAAUUUGAUAAAAAACAGUAUCCGUUUAUUAUGAUUUUCCUUCUUUUUUACUGCCUGUUGAGUGACGCACCGUGCAUGUUAAUCACUUGCCGUGAUAGUCAAAUGCUAAUAUAAAUACCUGUGACCUGCUGCAGACCAUUCAUAAAUGUUUUUCCAUCUCUUUCAAAUACAUACAUAGUUAAGUACAUUAAGAGGAUGGAUCAGUCGGUAUAUCGCAACCGUGAGUGCGAGAGAGAUAACUGCAAAUUUCGAAAUCUAAAUUCUUUGAAACAGAAAAUUCCAAGUGAGGUUAGUCGACUGAUCCAUACUCUUGAUUCGAGAAAAAAAUUAUUCAGUCAAGAGAACAAGUGUAAUAGAGGAACCUCGUGCAAAUCACUAAUUGACAGUGUGGCGGACAUGAAACUUUUAUCGGUAUAUAUCGUUUCAAUUAUUUCUAUAUCCAUUAUUUGUUGCAUCCUACCAGUGAUAUACGUCAAACUUUGACAUGAGCAAAUAAUUUCUUUUUGCUAUAUUUCCGCUAACCCUUCGGUGAUCGAUUUUCCGGUCUCUGGGACCAUGCUCUCGAGGUAUCUAGAAUUUGCGAUUAUCCUCACAAGUCUGUGAGGAUAAUCGAAUUCCUUGCGAGACACAGGAAAAAGGAAGAAAUUCGUAAUUGCAUAUCAAGUUUUCAGCUUCAAAAUGGUAAUGAGGAAUAAACUUCGACGAUGACGACGGACGACGACGAUGGACGACGCUAAGUCGACGGUAAAUGACCUCGUACGGUGGGUUCAAAACAUCGAGUUCACGAAAAUUAAAAAAUUUUCGAAAAUCGAAAAAUCGACAUUCCACGAUGGAUUUGAAACAUGUUUCACGCGAUUCUGGAUCGGAUGAAUCAAAGUUGUAAUGAACGAUAAAAAAAAAAUUCCAAGGUUCGAAAAUUUCACGACGACGACGAUGCGGACGACGAUGACGACGACGGUGGUAAAAGUAACGACUUACGAAUUUAACAACGUUCAUAACCAUGUGAAUGAGAUGCGAAAGACGUGGAUUUCUCUCAAAAUUUUGCAAAUCACGGUAGUAAAUACUGCUGAGUUGAGCAAUUUCCUGAAGCUUGCGAAGCUCGAUUUCUCUCUCCUCCGUUUCAUGCUCCACUUUUUUUUUCCUUUUGUUGGCAUUUUUCUUGUCAUAUUACCAUGGCAGUUUCCGCAAUUUUUUCCAUCAUCUCUAUCCGUGGUUGUUUUUUUGUUUGAAUUUUCGUGAUAUCGUUUGGUUUUUUUUUGUUACUCUCAUUUGCCGGCGACGACGACGACACGAGGGCGGUUGUGUCGUCUUGUCACAUGCAAUUAUUUAUACUGCAAUGUGGCGACGAAAAAAUGUCAUUACAAUAAUUCCAUCUUUGCGAGAGGCGAGAUCGGAUAAAUAAAGUAAACGCAUCGCUAGAGAAAAAAUGUACGCGGAUGUAUACAUGUAUAUCUGAUCAUCUCAUUUUCGGUCCGCGCGCGGCGCCAAGUGAGUAUAGUUCCGAUCUCAUUACCUAUUGAGAUCUGACAAAAUUCGUGAGAUAUCUGGUGUCAAAUUUUGAACUACAACCGGGGUGCAACAUGGACGACUAACACACGACAAGUCACUUGAAGAUGUGACACAUUCAUGUACGUUGCACCCCGGUAUGCGCCAUUUUUAGCUUGGCCACGCCUCCAUGUCAGAUCCCAAUAACGAAUCCAGAGUAUUCAGACGUACAUAGAAGCCCAGUUCUUACGGGCGGCUUGAAGACAAACUUUUUGCCACCCCAUCCGUCGCUUGGCGGCGUGGACGUUCGCACUGUAACUUCACCGGUCAUUACGGUGUGCGGUGUUUCUCAUUGUUUUGAUGUUUUUUUUUAUCGGAUCAAGCCAAAAAUGUUUGACAUAAUACUUUGAAGCCUAAAAGAGACUUCAAUAUGUACUGUGACGUGACAUUUUUGCCUCGCCACUCGUACGAAUCGUGUCGACCAGUGGACCGGGUUUACGGCCCAUUUUGACGCCGUUCGACUCGUCGGGUGUUGGUCGGAACGAGACUCAUCGUCACGUAAUUAUAAGUGUUAUUUUAAGAAUCGCGUAUAGUACCUUUCGAGCGACAAUUUACUAGGCCUAUAACCGUUACCUGAUACCUCCGUGUGCAAGGAAGAGAGAGAAUUUUUGAUUGUUUAAUUUUGAGUUUUAAUGAAGUUUCCUUUUGACUAUUUCGUUUGUUUUCGAGAGAUUUGGUGUUAACGUCACCACAUUUGGCCCCGCUAGCAUUAUUCAUUUGGCGUUACGUUCCUGCUGUUCGAGCUGAUCUCGCUCGCGAGAAUCAUUCCUCUCACGCCGUCUUCGAGUACCGAAGAACAUUCUCGACCUGCGGGCGGUUGAAAGAGCACGCUGGCAUAGGCCAUUUAUUGAACGCCGCCCGUGUCUUUCCCGCCGUAGCAACCCAGAGUUGCACCGCCCGCAAUACCGUGAAUUCGGGUGUUACAGUCCGUGCGAACCGGCGCCUCGUCAGGUGGGAUCUGGGGGAGUUUUUCUGGAGGCGAGGUGCUGUUUUACCUGGUGGUUUAUUUUGUGGGCCCACCGCGACAUCCGGAGUCGUGAGGGAGGCCUCCCCUCGGCCUUUCAGAGCUGGCCGCCGGAUCCUCAAGAGGAAAGACACCCGAUUCACGGUCAUCUAGUCGAGAGAAGUGUUUCGAGUGAGCGGGAGAGGUGAGAGCAGCAGAAAGGUAAUUAUUGCGAUAUUGUGUAAAGAAGCGUGACGGGAAUUAUCCUCCGUAAACGCUCCAUGGUUUUGAGCUUCCCGCGAAAGCGCGAGCAAAGAGUCCGUACUCUAGUUCGCGCCUAGCGCGUGAGCGCUGUCGUGCAUGGGCCUAGUGGUGGGGAGAGCGCCGAAUCUGGAGGACCGCUCGUCGCACUAUCAGUCUUCUUCCGAUCACCUCACCGGCGAGUCACCAAUAUACGUCCCGAUCAUCGCGGAUCCUUUUGUCUUUCGGCGUGCGACGAGCUGUUUCUUCGGUAAGCCCUUCCUCCUUCUCCCCGAAUGAUUAAUGGAGUUGAGCAUUUUGAGUUUCGGAAUUUAGUUCCGGUUUAUUUGGCGUUUCGGGGAACAUGUGUGUCGAAGUUUCGAGCGAGAUUGCGGCCGAUACUUCCCGUGUUCCCAAAUUUUGUAGUUUAGCGGCUCAGCUCUACUAAUCGAUUCGAUAUUAAUUUGGGUCCAUUCAGUAUAGUUUAUUUGACGUAAUCCUGUUGCGCAUUAAUUAAUUAAGUUUGGGUUUUGUAAUGUCGAAUUUUUGAUAUCGAAUUUUGGUAGUACGCGCUGGAAUAUUCCACGCAGCUACGUUUCUCUCUCUCCCUGCACGCGUUGAGGCUCUAGCGAGCACGGUCGUUCGCGCGAUGUUUUCGCUCUGUCUCUCUCGCACUUAUUGUCGCGCGUCGUCUAUACGGCGAUUUAUUCUGUCUUUUGUAUUGCGUAUUUUUCAGCCGUUCCUUUUGCGUUCAUAUUUAUUUUCUUUUCUCUAUUUCGUGACGAUCGUAUCAUUUUGCGUUCCGUUAUGGCGAAUUAUCUUACGGCCCUCUUUCGUUACCUAUGUUACCUUUUCAACGAUUAUCUUGCUAUUAGUUUCUAUGAUUUAUUUUAUCGUAUAACGCCGUUACCUUCGUAUUAGUGUACUGAUCGUUCGGGAAUUUCGGUAUUACUUCGCGCUUAGCCGAAAGUCGCUUCACUAUUACCUUCGAUUACCUUUCGUCGCAUACCUUCGAGUAUUCUUGCGGCCGAGAACUCAUGUAGGGAAUUAUCUGGCGUCAAUUACUUUGCCUAUGUUGCCUAUGACGCUCUCGCGAGUUACUUUAGGGUUACCUGGUGUCGAUUACCUUUUACCUGAAUUUACCUAAGACACCGGUUGUUCUGGCGUUGGUUACCUUUUACCUACAAUGCCAGAGCGGCGGUCGUCGAUUACCUACGACACCCGCGAAAUUGCGAUGCGAUUACCUAUUACCUGAAUUAACUGAUUAAUUCGAGUAAGCCGCGCGCCGAAACCGCGUUGUCGUCCGAUACGUAUUGGCCAUACGAUUCUAGCGAGCCGUAAAUUGAAUUUUCUUCCCCACUCUUAUUUUAUAUAGAAUCCACUCUCGCGAGAAUUCAUCUUUUCUUGUACUUUUGUUUAUUUGAAUAAAUUGUGAAUCUUUUCUGAA
rnacentral:lncRNA from 1 species